rnacentral:rRNA from 1 species
AUCGAACGCUGGCGGCAUGCUUUACACAUGCAAGUCGAACGGUAACAGGCCGCAAGGUGCUGACGAGUGGCGAACGGGUGAGUAAUGCAUCGGAACGUGCCCAGUCGUGGGGGAUAACUAUCCGAAAGGAUAGCUAAUACCGCAUACGAUCUGCGGAUGAAAGCGGGGGACCUUCGGGCCUCGCGCGAUUGGAGCGGCCGAUGUCAGAUUAGGUAGGUGGUGGGGUAAAGGCUCACCAAGCCAACGAUCUGUAGCUGGUCUGAGAGGACGACCAGCCACGCUGGGACUGAGAAGCGGCCGAGACUCCUACGUGAGGCAGCAGUGGGGAAUUUUGGACAAUGGGCGCAAGCCUGAUCCAGCAAUGCCGCGUGCAGGAAGAAGGCCUUCGGGUUGUAAACUGCUUUUGUACGGAACGAAACGGCUCUGGUUAAUACCUGGGGCUAAUGACGGUACCGUAAGAAUAAGCACCGGCUAACUACGUGCCAGCCGCCGCGGUAA